UGCGGACAGCUACCCAAAACCAAGAUGGCGCUGGGGCGGUGAGGUGUGCCGGUGUUUUCCCGCCCAGCGCGGAAGUGACGGCCCCGCGGCGGCGGCCCACCCCCCCCUCCCUUUAUGGUGGUUUUUUCUUUUUCCCUUUGGGCCCCGCGUCUUUUCCUCCGGCGAGACGGGAAAUGGCCGCCGAGCCGCGAUAAGGGAGCGGGGCCGCCGGCAGUUCCGCCCCACAGACAAGAUCUGAAAUGGUCCGAUACACUACUGUGCUCCUUCAGAGACUCAUGCUUGCUGAUGAUGAGAAGUAAAAACUUAAUCUUAUUAAGGCAUAUGUUUUGUAGAAAUUGGAAAUAUCUUGGUCACUACUAGUGAAUGGGAUCAAUAUUGCUGAAAGCACAAAUAGAGAGUUUUGAAAUAAUUGCUUCAUUGGCACCAACCGACGGUUUGAGGAGUAUAUCUACUGGGAAAAAUGGGUCGAUCUAACUCUAGAUCACAUUCUUCAAGAUCAAAGUCCAGAUCUCAUUCCAGCUCUCGGUCAAGAUCCAGAUCACAUUCUAGAAAAAAGAGAUACAGUUCUAGGUCUCGGUCAAGGACAUAUUCACGGUCUCGCAGCAGGGAUCGUGUUUAUUCUAGAGAUUAUCGCAGAGAUUACAGAAAUAAUAGAGGAAUGAGACGUCCCUAUGGUUACAGAGGAAGAGGUAGAGGGUAUUAUCAAGGAGGAGGUGGUAGAUACCAUCGUGGAGGUUAUAGGCCUGUCUGGAACCGAAGACACUCCCGAAGUCCUAGGCGUGGCCGUUCACGUUCCAGAAGUCCAAAACGAAGGUCUGUGUCUUCUCAGAGGUCCCGGAGCAGAUCUCGUCGAUCUUACAGAUCUUCCAGGUCCCCAAGGUCCUCUUCAUCUCGUUCUUCAUCCCCAUACAGCAAAUCACCUGUCUCUUCCAAAAGACGCGCGUCUCUGGAAAAGCAGGCAAAGAAAACUGAAGGGGCUCCUUUGCAAGAUAGCCCCUUGAAAAAUAAAUCACAAGAUGAACAGAAAGAUACAUUUGAACAUGACCCAUCAGAAUCUCUUGACGAUUUUAACAAAUCAUCAGCAGCUUCUGGCGACAUUUGGCCUGGCCUUUCAGCAUAUGAUAACAGUCCAAGGUCACCCCAUAGUCCUUCAAUCGCCACCCCACCUAGUCAGAGUUCAUCUUGCUCUGAUGCCCCUUUGCUUAGUACAGCCCACUCAGCAAAGGACACACCUCAACAUUCCCAUUCCAUUCAACAUAGUCCUGAGAGGUCUGGCUCUGGUUCUCUUGGAAAUGGUUCUAGCCGUUACAGUCCUUCUCAGAAUAGCCCACUGCAUCAUAUCCCUUCGAGGAGAAGCCCUGCAAAGACAAUCCCAUCACAGAGUGCUCCACGUGAGGAGGCUCGAGCACGGUCAUUUUAUCCUGAGGGUGGUGAUCAGGAAACUGCAAAAGGUGGAAAGUUUAUGAAAAGGUACACAGAUGAAGAGUCUAGAGUAUACCUGCUUGAUAGGGGUAAUACCAGGGAGAAGGAGGCCCAGAAGGAGAGAGGAUCAGAAAAAGGGAGGACAGAGGGAGAAAGGGAAUGGGAGGAACAGGAAACUUUAGAUUUUUUCGUUGAUAAAGAGCCCGGGAAAGAAAAGUUUAAUGACUCUGAAGGGGAGGACACUGAGGAGACUGAGGAUUACAGACAGUUCAGAAAGUCUGUCUUGGCAGAUCAGGGUAAAAAUUUUCCUACUGCAUCUCACCGGAAUGCUGAGGAGGAAGGAGCCAAAUACAAAUCUAAAAUACCAAUCAAGGGCAAUAGAGAGAGCGAUGGAUUUAGAGAUGAGAAAAGUUAUAAGCUUAAAGAGACUGGCUAUGUAGUGGAAAGGCCUAGCGCAACAAAAGAUAAGCACAAGGAAGAAGACAAGAGUUCUGAGAGACUAAUGAUGAAGAAAGAAACUCAGUCACCUGAGCAGGUAAAGUCUGAAAAGCUCAAAGAACUCUUUGAUUACAGUCCCCCUCUACACAAGAAUCUGGAUGCGAGAGAAAAAUCCACCUUCAGAGAGGAGAGCCCACUUAGGAUCAAAAUGAUAGCCAGUGACUCCCAUCGUCCUGAAGUUAAACUCAAAAUGGCACCAGUACCUCUUGAUGAUUCCAAUAGACCUGCUUCCUUGACUAAAGACAGGCUGCUUGCUAGCACACUUGUCCAUUCCGUCAAGAAGGAGCAAGAGUUCCGAUCCAUCUUUGACCACAUUAAGUUGCCACAGGCCAGCAAAAGCACGUCAGAGUCAUUUAUUCAGCACAUUGUGUCGUUGGUUCAUCAUGUCAAAGAGCAAUACUUCAAGUCAGCUGGAAUGACCCUAAAUGAGAGGUUCACUGCAUAUCAAAAAGCUACUGAAGAACACUGCACCCGACAAAAGAGCCCAGAAAUACAUAGGAGGAUUGACAUCUCUCCAAGUACCCUGAGGAAGCAUACCCGUUUAACAGGUGAAGAGAGAGUCUUUAAAGAAGAAAGUCAAAAAGGAGAUAAAAAAUUAAGAUGUGAUUCUGCUGAUCUUCGGCAUGACAUUGACCGACGUAGAAAAGAGCGAAGUAAAGAACGAGGAGACUCAAAGGGUUCCAGGGAAUCCAGUGGGUCAAGAAAGCAGGAGAAAACUCCAAAAGAUUACAAGGAUUACAAAUCUUACAAAGAUGACAGCAAAUAUGUAUUAUCUGUCUUUUACACGGCUUAUGGUGGAUGAGGACAAAAACUUUGGAAUAGCAAGCUAACACUGAAAAAAAAAUGACAAAUUAAUCUGUCCUAUUAUCCAGGCUACAUCAGGAGGUUGGACUUCAAUGCAGUACAUUUCUAUAAACAGUUUGUUAAACAAAAAAGAGAGCAAGACCGUGCUCGGUCCUCCCCAUCUUCCUCCCCAUCUUCUUCCUCAUCCAGCUCUCGAGAAGAAAAGGAUUGCAAGAAAGAAAGGGAUGAAGAGUUCAAAACCCACCAUGAACAGAAAGAAUACUCUGGUUUUGCAGGAGUUAACAGGCCAAGAGGCACCUUUUUUCGAAUUAGGGGCAGAGGAAGAGCCAGAGGAGUCUUUGCUGGAACAAAUACUGGUCCCAGCAACUCAAAUACUACUUUUCAGAAGAGACCGAAGGAAGAGGAAUGGGAUCCUGAAUAUACCCCAAAAAGCAAGAAAUACUUCUUGCAUGAUGAUAGAGACGAUGGUGUGGAUUAUUGGGCCAAAAGAGGAAGAGGCCGUGGUACUUUCCAGCGUGGCAGAGGGCGUUUUAGCUUCAAGAAGUCAGGUAGCAGUCCGAAGUGGACACAUGACAAAUACCAAGGGGAUGGAAUUGUGGAAGAUGAAGAAGAAACGAUUGAGAAUAAUGAAGAAAAGGACAGACGCAAAGAGGAAAAGGAAUAACCCUGGAAGAAAGUUGUAGCUGAAAGAGCAGCUCUUGCACCACCCACCCAACAUUUUUAAUAUGUUUUUUUUUGUUGUCAAAUGAAUGUAAGCAUUUUACUUAAAUUUUACUGUUGGAAAGUAGUUUAGAGGGAUUGUUUUUGUUUUAAGCCUUUAGAAAAAAUUCUUGAUAUAGUAAACUAUGUUAAUGAUCGUACAGGUAGAAAGUAAAAUAUUUGUAACAACUUUUAAGAAAUUUUACUGUUUGUUAUAUGCAGUGUAAUUCUGCUUUGUCCAAAUAUAUGGUCAAGUACAACUCUAAAAGUUUUGAUUCUCCCCUAUGUCUGUGUUUUAUUCUGAAGUAAACUUACAGCUCUGCACACCUGAAA